rnacentral:rRNA from 1 species
UGGGGAAUAUUGGACAAUGGACGCAAGUCUGAUCCAGCAAUGCCGCGUGAAUGAUGAAGGCCUUAGGGUUGUAAAGUUCUUUAAGUAGGGAAGAUAAUGACGGUACCUACAGAAUAAGCACCGGCUAACUUCGUGCCAGCAGCCGCGGUAAUACGAAGGGUGCAAGCGUUGUUCGGAAUUACUGGGCGUAAAGCGUGCGUAGGCGGUUUAACAAGUUGGGAGUGAAAUCCCGGAGCUUAACUCCGGAAUUGCUUUCAAGACUGUUAGGCUAGAGUAUGGUAGGGGACAGUGGAAUUCCUAGUGUAGAGGUGAAAUUCGUAGAUAUUAGGAGGAACACCAGUGGCGAAAGCGACUGUCUGGACCAUUACUGACGCUGAGGCACGAAAGCGUGGGGAGCAAACAGG